UGCAAGUCGAGCGAAUCUUUGGGAGCUUGCUCCCAUUGGUUAGCGGCGGACGGGUGAGUAACACGUGGGCAACCUGCCUGUAAGACUGGGAUAACUUCGGGAAACCGGAGCUAAUACCGGAUAAUCCAUUUCCUCUCAUGAGGAAAUGCUGAAAGUCGGUUUCGGCUGACACUUACAGAUGGGCCCGCGGCGCAUUAGCUAGUUGGUGAGGUAACGGCUCACCAAGGCGACGAUGCGUAGCCGACCUGAGAGGGUGAUCGGCCACACUGGGACUGAGACACGGCCCAGACUCCUACGGGAGGCAGCAGUAGGGAAUCUUCCACAAUGGACGAAAGUCUGAUGGAGCAACGCCGCGUGAGCGAUGAAGGCCUUCGGGUCGUAAAGCUCUGUUGUUAGGGAAGAACAAGUACCGGAGUAACUGCCGGUACCUUGACGGUACCUAACCAGAAAGCCACGGCUAACUACGUGCCAGCAGCCGCGGUAAUACGUAGGUGGCAAGCGUUGUCCGGAAUUAUUGGGCGUAAAGCGCGCGCAGGCGGUCCUUUAAGUCUGAUGUGAAAGCCCACGGCUCAACCGUGGAGGGUCAUUGGAAACUGGGGGACUUGAGUGCAGAAGAGGAAAGCGGAAUUCCACGUGUAGCGGUGAAAUGCGUAGAGAUGUGGAGGAACACCAGUGGCGAAGGCGGCUUUCUGGUCUGUAACUGACGCUGAGGCGCGAAAGCGUGGGGA
rnacentral:rRNA from 1 species